rnacentral:rRNA from 1 species
UAGGGAAUAUUGGGCAAUGGUCGGAAGACUGACCCAGCCAUGCCGCGUGCAGGAAGACGGCCCAUUGGGUUGUAAACUGCUUUUAUCAGGGGAGAAAACGCCCAUGCGUGGGAACUUGCCGGUACCUGAUGAAUAAGCACCGGCUAACUCCGUGCCAGCAGCCGCGGUAAUACGGAGGGUGCGAGCGUUGUCCGGAUUUAUUGGGUUUAAAGGGUGCGUAGGCGGCUUUUUAAGUCAGCGGUGAAAGUUU